rnacentral:misc_RNA from 1 species
UAACUCAAGUGGUAAUAACACA